ensembl:snoRNA SNORA74 Small nucleolar RNA SNORA74
CCCAGCAGUAGUCAGCUGUACAGUGCUUACCAGUGACUGUAAUAGUGUUACACUGCUGGCAGAUAAAGAUAUAGCCAUUAUAUUCUAGAUGCCCAUGGCACCGUUCUGGUUUCAUGUGACUCUAGUGUCUGGUUAUGUUUUGCUCCCUUGAGAGUGCGCCUUGAUCUUACUUUGACCAUUAGGUGCUAGAUUGGAAGCAAACAAC